UGUACAUAUUGAUAUUGUUUCUCAUGAAAAGUCAUUGGAAGUGGUUAUAUGUAGGACUGCUUUCACUAGAAAUAACUAAAAAAUUUUGAAGUAAUUUAAAGAAGGCAUGCAUUAUUUAAACACUUAUUAAAAGUCUGUACACAUUUUAAAUUAAAUAAUGGUCUUUAUUUGUAGGACUCUGAAGAUAUCUUUACCAAGCAAUCUAUCUCUAUUAUUACAGAGGAACCCAAACAACCAUGUCAACAUAGUCAAAGUCAUUUGUCACCCACUGGCCACUAUACUGGGCUAUUGUUACAGUUUGACUUUGCAUCAAAUGUAUCAUGUCAGCAAUCCUUUGUUGUUCAUGAUUAUAAUGCAAACAAAAGAACAAUUAUGCAUAAUUCAUUUGUAUUUGUACAUCGAUAUCCCCACCUAUUGCUUGAUGGCUAUGGUUGGAUAUUGUGCUGCUCAUGUGAUGCAAAUAGAAAGCAAUUUGUUGAUGCCCUACCUAAUAAUAUACAAUUAGAUCCUCAAAAAGAUAUACCAUAUCCGAGUUGCAUACACAUAUUAGCAAUGGAAAAAAUAUCUGGUUGUGUAUGAUAGAAAGUUUGGUAUUGAAGCCAAAGAUUUUAUUGAAAAAAAAAUCCACAUCCAUGAUGCAGUCUGUUUUCAGUGAUCAUUCCUACCAUGAGAUGCAACCUGAAGAAGUAUAUUUUGUUAUGUGAAAAUAACUUUUUUGUACAAAUACACGUAUUGUUUCUCAA